GAAAAUUCGACGAUGCCCACCACAUUCUGCAAGAGCUGCGCGUGCCUGACUCGGUCCCAAACUCGGAGCUGGUUGAGUUCCACUCAAUGUCUCAGGGAAAAACAUGUUCUUGGUUCUGGGAGAAGAGAAGUGAGAAGAGAGAGAAGAGGGAUAUAUUUUUUUAUUCAUAUAUUGUUUAGAUAAAAAAUUAUUAGUUUAUUAAUAUUUAAUUAAUUUUUUAAUUCAAUUAGGUAGGGAGUGGGCUUCUUGUCUGCCACGUCAGCAUUUAAAAAAUAUAAAAGUUAACAGAUGUCUGACAUUACAAUGAAUUCAUAAGACGAGGUAUGACAUUGCAAUGUUUAAAAGAUGAGGUAUGAGAUUGUGGUGCAACCUAUAGUUGAGAUAGUUUUGUAUAAUUUACCCUAGAAAUUAUUUUGAAAAAUUUAAGUAUUUUACAUGGAUUUCUUCAUACUCGGAAGUGCUUUUAAACUUACUUAUUGUCAAAUAGCGUCAAAAAUAUUUUUUAUUUGUCACGUAGGCAUUUUAGAAUCAUUCUCAAACAUGCUCCUAAUAUGUGCAUUAUUCUUACGUGAAAUAGAAAAAUGAGUAAUGCUAGGUAAAUCAAUUUUUAGAUCAAAGUUGCAAGUUAUAUUAUGACGUGUCACCAAUAAAACAUAAACACGUUAAUCAAUACUUAAGUAAUAAUUCAAUCAUCAACAACCACA
rnacentral:lncRNA from 1 species